ACGCUCGACACCUACGGGUGGCAGCAGUGGGGAAUAUUGCACAAUGGGGGAAACCCUGAUGCAGCGACGCCGCGUGAGUGAAGAAGUAUUUCGGUAUGUAAAGCUCUAUCAGCAGGGAAGAAAAUGACGGUACCUGAGUAAGAAGCCCCGGCUAACUACGUGCCAACAGCCGCGGUAAUCUGAGCGGGCUGGCAAGGC
rnacentral:rRNA from 1 species